GCUUGCGGCCAUACCACCCUGAGCACUCGUCUGAUUUCGCAAGCUAAGCAAGGUUGGGCUUGGUUAGUGCUUGGAUGGGAGACUGCCUGGGAAUAACAGGUCAGCCCGGGCA
ensembl:rRNA 5S_rRNA 5S ribosomal RNA